GUGAGGAAUAUUGGGCAAUGGGCGAAAGCCUGACCCAGCCACGCCGCGUGAGUGAUGAAGGCCUUCGGGUUGUAAAGCUCUGUGGGGAGGGAAGAAAAAGCGCAGGAGUAACUGCCUGUGUGUUGACGGUACCUCCUUAGCAAGCACCGGCUAACUCUGUGCCAGCAGCCGCGGUAAUACAGAGGGUGCAAACGUUGCUCGGAAUUACUGGGCGUAAAGCGCGUGUAGGCUGACAUGCAAGUCGGGUGUGAAAUCCCAGGGCUCAACCUUGGAACUGCACUCGAAACUGCACGUCUUGAGUACUGGAGAGGGAAGCGGAAUUCCGGGUGUAGAGGUGAAAUUCGUAGAUAUCCGGAGGAACACCAGUGGCGAAGGCGGCUUCCUGGACAGUAACUGACGCUGAGACGCGAAAGCGUGGGGAGCAAACAGGAUUAGAUACCCUAGUAGUCC
rnacentral:rRNA from 1 species